CUCUAUACAGUAGGAGCUCCGUUAGUGUCCGAUCAUUAUUCCCUACUCCUUUGCAGUUUGCAGUUGAUCCACUAGUGCCAAUUUGUACCGCGAGGAGAGUACUACGUCAGGCAAAAUUUGCUCAAAUUUCUCAGCUGUUCGAGAUACAAGUCUCCGUACAAGAGCGUGUCACGAAGCAUAUAGCGAGCGUUGUUGGUUGAACGGAUAAAUAAACGAAGAAAAAAAAGUUAGUAACACCGAGACGUUCGUAGCUUUGAGCAAAAACUGGUACUGGCCAAGGUGAAAGGAAUCUCGACUGACAUGGGAAAAACAGCUUCUCUACGUGCAGAUCAUUCUUAUUUUCUAUUACCAUGUACAGAUUGACAAAUGCAGCGAAAAUAAUGAGGAAAUAGCAAAUAAAGAUUUGAACGAAAGCUUAA